rnacentral:rRNA from 1 species
AGUGAACGCUGGCGGUAGGCCUAACACAUGCAAGUCGAACGGCAGCACAGUAAGAGCUUGCUCUUACGGGUGGCGAGUGGCGGACGGGUGAGUAAUACAUCGGAAUCUACUUUUUCGUGGGGGAUAACGUAGGGAAACUUACGCUAAUACCGCAUACGACCUACGGGUGAAAGCAGGGGAUCUUCGGACCUUGCGCGAUUGAAUGAGCCGAUGUCGGAUUAGCUAGUUGGCGGGGUAAAGGCCCACCAAGGCGACGAUCCGUAGCUGGUCUGAGAGGAUGAUCAGCCACACUGGAACUGAGACACGGUCCAGACUCCUACGGGAGGCAGGAGUGGGGAAUAUUGGACAAUGGGCGCAAGCCUGAUCCAGCCAUACCGCGUGGGUGAAGAAGGCAUUCGGGUUGUAAAGCCCUUUUGUUGGGAAAGAAAAGCAGCAGGUUAAUACCCCGCUGUUCUGACGGUACCCAAAGAAUAAGCACCGGCUAACUUCGUG